GACGAACGCUGGCGGCGUGCCUAAUACAUGCAAGUAGAACGCAGUUGCGAACGGGUGAGUAACGCGUAGGUAACUACCUUGUAGCGGGGGAUAACUAUUGGAAACGAUAGCUAAUACCGCAUACUACUAGAUGGACCUGCGUUGUAUUAGCUAGUUGGUGAGGUAACGGCUUACCAAGGCAACGAUACAUAGCCGACUUGAGAGGGUGAUCGGCCAAACUGGGACUGAGACACGGCCCAGACUCCUACGGGAGGCAGCAGUAGGGAAUCUUCGGCAAUGGGGGGAACCCUGACCGAGCAACGCCGCGUGAGUGAAGAAGGUUUUCGGAUCGUAAAGCUCUGUUGUUAAGGAAGCGGUACUUAACCAGAAAGGGACGGCUAACUACGUGCCAGCAGCCGCGGUAAUAC
rnacentral:rRNA from 1 species